UGAUCCAGAUGGCCAGACUAUUUCUGGUACAAGCCAGGAUGCCAUUGGCCUUUCUGGCCACCUGGGCACACUGCUGGCUCAUGUUCAUCCAUCAGUGUCAUCAGGCAUUGUCCUAACCCUCUCCUCCUCUGCCCCAGUGCUUGAGGUUUCCACAGAGAGCUGCCAGGAGAAAGCCAAGGGGACAAACCAGGAUUUUUAAUCUGCUGAUUACUGGGAUUUACACACAGAUGCAUUUGCAGUGCUUCCCCUCGCCUUCUUGAUCGGAACGGUUUCCAUGGUCUGUCAUUUUAGCGCACAGCAGAACAACCUGGAGCACAUUUUGAUGUUUUAUGUUACCUGGUUUUAUCAUGAAGGAAGAUCAAAAGACACACAAGCACCAUAAAAAAAGCUAGGCGAAGAUACGAGUGCAGAGAACCUGGCAAAAGACUGCCAGAUGAGUGACCCUGGGGAGGCUGAGCUGGCUUCUGGCUGCGUCUGAGAUUCCAGAAUCAAACUGAGCAAGUUACGCACACUGACCACUUAGGAAAGGCAGAUGCAUCACAACUGGAGUUUUAUUUCUGUACUUCUUGUUCAUGUGUAACUGGAAGACUCAUAAUAGCAGGAAUGCUGUUCCCUCAGAUCCCUACUGGAGGAGAUGAUUACUUACGGCAGAGCGUAUGUGAGGAAAGAUGUUGGCUUCCUCUUCACUAGUACUGUCCCCAAUUUGUUACACAGCAUGACAAAUAGAACAACACUUCCAUGAUGUUUAUAUGUUUUAUAACACAAGUUAGCAGUAGAAUCAAGACCAAGUGCCAAGAUAGUUAAUUAAUUCCACUUUCCUGAAUUAACCAUAAGGUUUGAGUUAUGUAUGGCAAUUAUCUCCUUUAAACUGUUAAGCACGCAGAAAGUGGUUAUUGCCCGCUGUCUUUCUACCUCCACCAUGUCAGGGACAGUGAAUCUUGCUGUGUGUGUGCUCGUGUGGUGACACAGUAGUGCCACACACCUUCCUGCUGCUGUUAGAGCCAUGACAAGCUGCUCUGGCUGCCCUGCGGUGCUGGGCUGUGCUCCUGCGUGAAGCUGCCAGCAACUCACUGCCUGAGGAGUUCCCAUUCCAGGAGGUGAGGCAGAAAAGGGUAAGGCACUGGUGUAUCAUCAUCAUGGCUGCAAUAUGGAGGAGGAGAAAAGAUACAGAGAAGUGGUGACAGGUCCAUGGUUGCCCUGAGAAGCUGGAGUCACUGUAAGGAACUGAAUUCCCCAGGGUGGAUUAUGAAGUUGCUCUACAUGAAGUUGCUCUAUACAGAAGGCUUUGAAGAUAAUUAGACAAGAAUGACAGAAACAUCUUGGUAACAGUCUGAACAAUGUAAAUACAAGAUGGUAGAGCACAGGUAGCGAGUACAGAUUGGUAGGAAGAAGAGUUCAUGCUGUCUGUCAGUUAUGGAUGCCCUCUCCCUUCUCGGAACAAGUGUUGCCAUUUUGUUCAGCAUCCUUAAGACCUGUAAAGAAAUAAUGAACAAAGGCAGGCUGGAAGACCCUUCUGACAUCCUGUCUUUUCCAUCUUGUGAAAAGAGUGAUCUUAAAAUGGGGGACUAUCUUGCAGAGGUGGAGUCAGCCAUUGGCUAAAAGUGGAACUUACUCAGCAAAUCUGCUCCCUGUGCUGCAAUCAGGAACAUUUACAUGUCAGUUUUCUGACAAAAGUACAUUUUUUUUUUUUGCUCUGUGUAACCUAAGACAGAGGCAGAAAGUGUGGUUGUUCUAAGAAGAAUCAGGUAAUUUUGGGUCACAUAAGCUGCAUCUCCCUUACUUGGUGGAGCACAAGCCAGAAAGCUGCCUGAAACUAAGUGCACUCAUCUCUGUGUCUGCAGUUCUGGUCCUAAAGUACAGUUCAUGAGCCUAAAGUGUCUUGCUGAAGACACCAGCCUUUUUAGAAGGCUCCUACGCUGACUUGUCUGCAUUGUACUGACCAUGUAAUUUUGCUACAUGGUGAUAAAAGCAUACAAUAAUAACAUCAGUUAACGUGGCCUAUGGGUUGGCAUAUGUUUGAAUGUGGACUAAAGAAUACUAUGGCUCUAAAUCUCUGCUUGUUUGAAAUUCCUGCAUUUUGGGCAUUAGUAUUGAAAUUAUUUGGACAUGAAACAAAUUUGAGCUAAGCAUGUGCUGGGACACAAGCUUGAAAUACACUCUAAAUGUAACCAUGGUGGUGUCCACACCCAUGCAGACUAUAGUGCAAAUCCCAUUACUGAAGCUGCAUAUAGGUGCACACUGAUGUGACCUUCUGCUUUUGUUUAGUUAUGGUGCAAAUACACCAAGUAAAGCAUGCACUUACCCAACAAAAAUACAAACCUUCUAAGGUGCUUCUACAAAAAUGUUUUAUAUUUGUGGUCCUACUGUCAGCAGAAUAGUAGAGGCAAAAGGAUUGUGCUAUUAAGGAGUUACACUGACUAAAGAAAAAAAAAAGCUAAUCUAAAAAGGAAAGAAUAAUAUUGGAUUUGAGAAUUUAUGCUCAGUAUUUUGUAUAGAAAACCUGAUAUUAAAGCUGCAAAGAAUCCUCAUCUGUAUUUCAGGGAUGUAAUCCUGGUUACUUAUAUACAAAAUGCUUGCCUGUCUUGAUUAUUUAGGAUAUAUUUCUUAAUUUCUUUUAGAACAGAACAACACCAAAUUGCUAUAUUCUUACUUCAAGGCAAAACUCACAUGUUUAGCCUAAAUGAAACUAACUUGACUUGAUUUAUCUUUUCGUUAUUUUCUAUGGGACAUAUUGUGUUAUUAAUUUAGGCAGGACACUCCUCAUUGUUUUCACUAGAGAGUCCUGCUUAAAACAUGAACCCACAUUACACUGUCCUAAUGAUGAACUUGGAAUAAGUAUUUGGAUCUGAAGGGAGAGACAAUCUGAUUUUAUAAAUCUAUUAAUUUUUAUGCAGCUUGACUUAAAAAAAAAAACAACAUGGAGAUAAAGUUCAGUUUGAAUUCUGACACUCAGAAUUCAUUUUUCCAAAUGAAGCUCUCUUUCCUGAGAAGUGAGCUUCAUUUUGGAAAAAAAGAAAAAGAAAAAAAGCAAGGAAAAAAAAACCCCUUGAAUUGCAUCCUCCCACGAGGACAUUUAAUUUAAUAAAGCAGCCUCCUCGGGAUUGCUCCACUGUUGCUUAGGCGCCUCAGGGGGAGGAUUCUUCCUCAUGAGGGGGAGGACCUUGGCCAAGCAUGAGGGAGACACUAAGGCUGGGUGUUAGGGAGUGGAUUUGUCCCUGAGGGCAACAUUCCCCUUUCCAAACAGCUGUAUGGAUUUCUAAUGCAAAUUCUGUCUUAAUUAUGUGUGUGAGAGCAUUCAUUUUUAGGUAGGUCAACCAUUUCGCACUCCUCUCUGAAUUCCCCUGGCUAGUUUGCAGGGGAGUUUGCAGAAGUGCCCACCCUAUGUCCUGGUGUAUACCUGCCACCCCCCUCCAUCCUCGCCCCCAGGAUGUAGGAUAAUAACUUGUAAAUGACUUGUUGGCAAGUUUUACAAAGGUAAUCUGAGUUUUGGCUUUAGUGUGCCAGUGUUGGUAAUCUCAGGAAGAACAAGUUAGCCCUUUUGCUUUUCAAGGUGGAGCCAGUGGAGUCCCUUGCCCUGUCUGUAGCUAGGGUCUGGAGUCGUUUAGUUGUCUGCUACCCCAGCACCAGCCACCCACCAGCUCCCAGGGCCAGAGCUGCUCCUCUUUGUCACACUGUGUUGGCAAUUUCGUGUUCCAGCAUCAGUCUCCAAAAUAGAAGCAAAAGACAAAAUCCUCUCUAUGCCCCUAAAGAAGUGAAAAGGUACUUUGUCAGCCUCAACAUGAGCAAGACUGAAAUGAAGCCUCCCCUUGCACUCCCCGCUGCCCACUGCCUUUACAAUAGUGCUAAAGUCUUUCAAAAUGUGAAACAGAUGCCUGCUUUUGGGAAGCUCAAUGUGUACCUGUUGCACACUGCCUUCAACCCAGGAAUGGAUGCUGUCCAGGAAAUGGCAAAGCAGGAUGUAGAGUUUUACAUACACAAAUAAUACACUCUUCUAUCCAGAAGCAAUAUUCUAGGGAUAUAAAAUAAGUUGUUAUUUGUUACUAAAGCAUUUCAGGCCAAACAAACUAAGAAUGGGGCCAGGAAUGAGCAGAUUUGCAACAAAUUUGCAUGGAAGAAAACUCUUAUUAGUUGGUCAGCAUUCUCGUGCAGCAUCUUGAAGGAUGAUUAGAUACUUUCCUAGCUUUGGGAAAUAUUGUGAAGGACUAGUCCUUUAUUGUUGCUUUUUUUGAUUUUUUUUUUUUUUAGGUGGUGGGGUGGAGGGGAGUUGGAAGAACAUAUGGAUGUGUGAUUUUUUUUGUUUAAUCUUUGUUCUUUUGCCUCCCAUGGCAGUCUCUCUGGUUUGUCUUACCUAUUUGAUUGAGUUUUUAAGAGGAAGCCAAGAAGCUGUGAAGGAAAGGACAUUGAAACUCUCUUACAUCCAGCAGCAGGAAUGCAUCUGGCAGCACAUUCAUGCGUUUAAGCCAAAUUUUCUCUGAUUAAAUGUUUUUGGCAAAAAGUCAGAAUUGGUAAAUACAUUGCAUAUUGAGCUCCUUUCCAAAAGUAAAAUGAGAAAGGAGGGGAAAUACUAUCCAGUUCAGAAAAACUCCUUGGUACUAUGUUUUGAUAUCUAGUUAUGUAUAUUUAGCUUAAAACGUGAAAAGUGGUGGUUGCCAGUGGUCACAUAAUCAGACUUUUCAAGAAAAAGUCGGCAAUAACGCCAGAUGGCGCUUAAAGCCCAGAAUAACCGUAAAAAUGCCUUAACCGCAGGGCUUCCAGUGCCACCUAGUGCCGCCACCCGCCCUCCUGCUUCGGGCAAGUAACAUCUCAGGCAAGGAGAGCCGCCAGAAUAGCUAACUUCUGGAGGAGCAAGUUAUGCUCUCUAUGUUCAUCGUGCAACAUAUGCAAUGGUUUGAGAUGGAGAGUGUGUCUGGAGGCAAUACUACCAUCUUUUAAUAUUCUGACUCUAUUCCUGCUCUCCUCCUAAAGCAUCCCACCCUCAUGGACAGUGUACUGGUUUAGGUGCACUUUUUGCUCUUCUCAUGGUAUUUUUGACAGCACUGAAAUUUGCUGUCAAAAAUUAUCGGCGCUAUCAGAAACCAAAACGUGUAAGUAAAAAGAGGCAGACUGUGAAAAAGUAAUUAUGUCGUCUUCAGUAUCCUUUUCACAGUGAUACUUUGUUCACUUACACGCCUCCAACAGAGGUUUUGCAAACAUUAAUGAAUUAUUAUUAUUAUAGCUAUUGCCAUUAUACUUUGUUUACUUCCCUUUAUCCCAUAACAGUGAAGCAAACAGAAGGGAAUUAUUGUAGUCAGUAGUUUUCAAGGAUUCAUUUUAAGCAACAAAUCCUUGGUUCCUUCUACUUUGCUGCUGAGCUUGCAAAUACUUAGUGGCAAUCUCUGUUGUUCAUCACAGGGGAAAAAUUUUAAAGCAAAUGAACAUCAAAGAAGUAGUGAGAGGAGAAGGAUUGUCAGUUUCCACAUUAGACUGUCCUAUGUAAAAAAAAAAAAAAAAAAAAAAAAGAGUUGUUUUAUCUCUGAAUGAAUGGGAUGGGACUUACUCAUCUCUCCACAUCUGCCUGCUUUUACACAGUCCUUCAGCCUGCCUGAGCAUGCAUGUUUUCUGAGUGGGAUAUGUCCUGUCCUGUUAUGUCAGCUCCUUUUCUCCCCCAAAAAAAAAAAAAAAAAAGCCAGCAACAAUGUUCUUUUCUUGUAGAUUUAUGAUUUUCUGAGCAAUGAUUUUCUACAUUUGGCUGCUUCGUUGCACACUGAACACUUGCCAUUGCUAACAGAACGAAAAUCUUCCUAGUAGUUGAAACACGUUAAUUGCAAUUAAUGAAUACAACAAAUGCUUACAGGCAUUGCCUAUUAAGUCACUAUUUUGCAUAGCAACCUGUUGCCUUAUAAUGUUGUUCCCUCAUCUGUGCCAGUUCUCUAUUCCUCCCAUGGAUCACAAUCGUUUACCCACAAACAAUAGGCAAAUAUGGGUGUUGUUAUGUUUUUGGGCAUCUUUCCCCCCUUCAUCUUAGUGUUUGUGGUGUGCUUUGUCUGUAAAGGUCACCUGAGCCACCUAGAGGGCUGAGGGUAAGGAGCCUUCCCUGGGAGAAGGUCAGUGAAGGAGUGAGAAAGAGCCCCCCAGGGCCUCACUGGUUCUCCCUGGGAGACACAAAAGGGACACACGGAGAACUGACAGCAGUCUGAGUUUUGAGUGUAUAACAAAAUGAAGAAGAAAACUUCUAAUUAGCUCAUCUAGAGAAAGCAUGGGGGAAAUAACAGUCUUUCUUGCCAUAUAUUUUUUUAAAACAGAAAUGCUCUAUUUGCUGUAUAAUUAAUACGCAUUUUUUGGCUGUCAGUGUCAUAAGAAAGUGCCAUAUGCAAGUGUCAGGCCCAAGUUUAGGAGAAGACAGUGAUAAACACUGUACUUUUGCUAGCUUCAGUGGAACGAGUUCUCAAAAUUAAAUGCAUGCUAAACAGUCGGGGGGUUAAGCACUUCUGUACUGUGAGAUCUCCGCUUGAGUAUUUUGCUGAGUCGAAGCCUGGGACACAUGUGGACCCCUACUUGCAUGUAAGGCAAGGACACCCAGUAGAGUAGAAGCAUGACUAAGAAUGCAUUCCCUCGAAGACACUUGGAACGGAUACUUGUGCCUGCAGUAAAGAUUGUCUGAUGCUUCCCAGUGAGAAAAUGGGGCAGAGUAAGUGGGAACAGAUGUGGGGAUGGAGAGACAAGCCAGGGAGAACAAGAACAGCAGUUUUCCAGAAAGAAAAUACAUUUUUUUUCUGUGAUUGAACUGUGCUUUCCCAACUUUCAUCUUUCAUUUGCUGUCUAACAAAUAGCUUUGAAUAUACUCAUUAAAGUUCUGUCUCAUCUCCCUCCCGUGGCUGGGCAUAGACAAUAGUCUUCUACUGUGUCACCAAAUGCUCAAGCAGAUUAGGACAAUCGUAGGCUGUGCUAUGGAUCUAAGUUUUUGGGACCUGAUGAUUACUCAUGAAGUUUUCCAGUGCUCUCUCCCUCUUUUUUUUUUCCCUUUAAUGGAAUUGCAUGUAAAAACUACAUUAUUUAGCUUGCAAGUCAAGCACUGCAAAGUAACAAAAUAUCAGAAAUAAGUUGUCUGCAUUACAUUAAUUUGUCUUUUCCGUGUUCAUACCAUUUACGUGAUUUUUUCCCACAGGGUCCUUAACUGCACAGGAUGGGCUGUAUUCUCAGAUUGAAUCAAGCUUCUGUCAGUCUCAUCUCUGGGAAAAUGCAGAGGAUGGACCCAAAGCUACAUUCAGGGCCACUGAAAAGUUGCAGUUUGCUAUAGUAGUUCUGUUAAAAUCCAGCUACAACAGAAAUUAAUAUUUCUGGAAGCAAAAGCAAUCAAAUGCUUGCUGGUUUUCAUCCCCCUCUUUUUGAAACAUAUAAAACAGUGCGAGUUUGCUUAUGCUUUUUGAACAAGGCAGGUGGUGAAUUCCCAAGUGAAUUGUGUGUUGCCUGAACCCUCUGCUGUUUGGUUUGGCUUGUAAUUAAAAUCUUGGGUAAAUUACAUGGAAUAUUUGUGCUGUCUUAUUCCUCUUUGGCUUGAGUAGUCCAAAUGGAUCAAGCAGGAGAAAAGAGAUAGGAGCUUCCUGUCAGAUGAGAGCCGUCAAAGCCUAUGGAGGUUUGACGCUGGUACUUGCUGGUUCUUUGCAGACAGCACAUGAAAAGCAGAGUCCUUGAGGUGUUCCUUUCCAGCAACUGGUUUCAAACCCUCAACAAAAAAGUAUGUGAAAGGUUUAAAUUUUAUUCAUGAUUUUUCUGGACCACUGGAGUCAAGUAGGUUUAAGUAGGUGCUAUUUAAAAUGUCCCAUUUGGUCUUUCCUAAUGAAGAUACCAGAAGAUGUAGUUGUCUCAGAAAGGAUCAAAUGCCAUAACAGAGAUGUUUUUUAGAGAUUCCUUAAUGGAGAUCCAAGUGCCACCUGAGAUUCAUCGGAGAGAGGACUUGCGUGCCUAAAUGUAUGCAUGAGGAGCAUACUCAGGAAGAGUCCAGCAUUGGGACUCUGGGUCUCAAACUUGUGGUAGACUUGCCUUAACUCAUUAGAUUCCUUCUUCUCAAAGAAAGCUGGAUGGAAAAGCGUUGUCAACAUAGCCGAGCUGAUGAUUAAAGCUUUUUGUUUCUGAUGGGUUACUUCUGCAUCGCUGUGUAAGCUAAUGCUGACUUAAGGAUUCAUAUUAAGGACUUUCAAAUAUAUCCUUAGCUUCCAGCCUGAUGCCAUGAGUGAACAGUCCCAGAAGAAAUGAUCUCCCUAGGAGAAAAUGAAGAGAGGGAUGUGAAGAAUAAUUGGUUUUACUGGCUGAGGUAAACCAUAGCUGCAAUAUGCAUGACCUCUAGUGCUUUUUCUGGGGAACGUAGCCAAAAUCUGUUAGACUCAGUUAAUAGUGGAAAUUCUUGUGACAAAGAGAUAUUCUUACAAGUUUGCUAAUCCUUCCCUAUUGUAGAAGUUUGUCUCACCAGAAGAAAUACAUGUUUAAAUUCAUCAGAUGACUUUAAUUUUAAAAGCAUACACUAAGUUAUUGUUUGAGUAGGCAAAUAAGACCCUGGUGUCACUUUGUCUUGUCAUGGAAGGUCUUUGAGGCCUCAUCCACACUCAACAGUAAAUUCACAUUCACCCUCUGGGUGAUCUGGCAUAGAAGAGAGCAGAAGGGGCAGUGCCACUGCUGCCCUGCAACAGCAGAGGAGCUGCUCAAGAUUUCGCUCUACAGCCUUUACUCCUGCUGUAGAGAUAUUCUUGUAAAGCCCUUUUAGAAGCAAAUACAGCUGUUUGUCCUUUUAAAUGCUCUUCUCAAUAAAGGAUGUAACUACAUUCUAGGCAAAAGAUGAGCAAAGAAAAAUUUUUUUUCCAAGACAAAAAUGCUGAAGUGAUAACUGUCUGCUUGAAUAUAGACAUAAUGAAAGGCUGAAGCAGAAGAUAUGUCCUCCUUUUCCCUUUUUGGCAUUGCCCUAGAAACCUUGUUCUUCACUUUAAGUACAAGAGAGCUCCUGAAGAGGGUAGAAUUAAGAUUUAUUUACUCUAGCCCUGUUUUUUGCUGAUAUAGAUUAUAGCAGGAUAUUUAGUUAAUAGGAGGCUAGAAACCAUGGUACAGUGAUGUUUGGCUCAGAGAUAGGCCUCAGUGUCCAUAUAGGGAAAAAAAAAGAUUUUCAUAUUGUGCAUAAACCAUCAACCCAUUACUCCUCUGCUCCUCUCAGAACAUUGGUUUCCUGCUGGUAAUAAAGCACAUCAGAAUAUCUCAUAAAAAAUGUUUUCUUAGUCUUGGUAUCAUAAUUGCUUGUACUGAGUAGCAAUUUCACAGAUAUUUUAGUAUCCUGUCUUGACCUGGCUGUGCUGGAUUCUUUCCCCCCACUAUUACUACAGUUUUUUCUUACUUAUAGAAAGAACAUACACCUUGUCUAUAUGAAAUUGGCAUAUGAGGGAAAACUUGGUAUUUAGAGAGGGAAAACUUGAUCUGAUACAAAAGCAAGUGCACCCAAGAUACUUGCACUUUUAACCUGCUUCAUACAGAAAUGCAUAUUACCAUCAUACUGCCUGUGUGCCUGUAUUUCAGUCCUCUGAAUUCAACUUUUGAAUCUCACAGAAUCAUCACAGUUGAAAGAGACAUUCAAGAUCAUCUAGUCCAACCAUCAAGUUAGCACUCCUAUAACCACCCCUAAACCAUAUCCCCAGAGGCCACCUUGAGAUGCCUCUUGAACACUUUCAGAAAUGGUGACUUCACCACCUCCCUGGGCAACUUAUUCCAAUGCCCAACCACUCUUUCAGUGAAAAUUUUUUUCCUGAUAUCUAAACUGAACCUCCUUUAGUGCCAUCUUCGAAUUUGCUGACUGAUUUCAGUUCAUUUGAUGAAGGAAAGUUAACAAUAAUUUCUUCUGUGUUUAGUGAAAAUUAGUAGCCAAGCAGAGUUGAGGGGUUUGACUCAUUUUUCUGCUGAGGGAAAGACUUCAUUAUGAGCAAAACACUAUUACUGGACAUCAGAAAAUCCUCAUGGGAGAGAAAAGGAGCUGAUAGAUGCCUCAACCUCAGGAAAAGUUUCAAUCAGAGUUUGCAUCUUAUUAGACACAAGAUAAUCCAACCACAAGAGACAAAGCCACAGGAAACUGGACUUCAUUUUCUGUAGCUACUUGUUCUUUAAAUCAGAAUAUUUGGGGUUUUCGUCUCUCUUCACUUCCAGAGGAUUAUUACUGUGCUAUGGUCCUGGUCUUUGAACUUACAACAUCUUUAUUUUUUAACUACAGCUCCUUUUCCAUUAGUUCGUAAUACUUCAUGGAUGUAAAAGUUAAUUGUGUAAAAUGUGGGUAGUAAGUCUGAGUAUUAAAAAUGUAUUUUUGACUUCUGUCUGCUAAUUAACUGUAGAGUUUCAAUUUUUGUAAACAUAGUAACUAAAAGUACUUUUCCAAGGGCUGAUUUAAUUUUCCAAACAAUAAUGUGUGUACAACUUAUUUAUAGUAGAUGCUACGGUUAUGAUUGCAUCAAGACUUCAUGAUAGCUCUCAGCUUACAAUUCCUUGAGGAAAAAACUGUACUUUUGAGUUAAAUUGUCUAUAUUUAUUUAAAGCCCUGAGCAUUAAUUUACUUUUGGGGCAUGAUUAUUGUUUAUUAAAUUAUUUA